CUUCUACAGAAGGAAGUGGGGAAAGAGCCUAACUAGAAGCUCAAGACUUAAUACAGUGGUUAACAACAAAGACAGGAAUGGAGAGCAGAAUGGCGGAGAAGCAUCACACAGCACCAGGUAUGUAAGCUUCCAACCAUGUCUCCAGCAGACAAGAGGGGACACUUCACCAGUGCCCCAGUGGCCUUCCCAGGUACUCUUUUCUGAGUCAUCUAACACAUCUAACAGAGAACCAUCACCUAACACGGCAGUUCUCAAGUUUUUUGGUCUUAUGCCCUUUUCCCUCUUAAAAAUUG
rnacentral:lncRNA from 1 species